rnacentral:tRNA from 1 species
GCACGGGUAGCUCAAUUGGAUAGAGCGUUGGCCUCCGAAGCCAAAGGUUGCGGGUUCGACCCCCGCCCCGUGCACCA